AUACGUAGGGGGCGAGCGUUGUCCGGAAUGAUUGGGCGUAAAGGGCGCGUAGGCGGCCCGGUAAGUCUGGAGUGAAAGUCCUGUUUUUAAGAUGGGAAUUGCUUUGGAUACUGUCGGGCUUGAGUGCAGGAGAGGUAAGUGGAAUUCCCAGUGUAGCGGUGAAACGCGUAGAGAUUGGGAGGAACACCAGUGGCGAAGGCGACUUACUGGACUGUAACUGACGCUGAGGCGCGAAAGUGUGGGGAGCAAACAGGAUUAGAUACCCUGGUAGUCCAUACUGUAAACGAUGAAUGCUAGGUGUAGGGGGUAUCGACCCCUUCUGUGCCGCAGUCAACACAAUAAGCAUUCCGCCUGGGGAGUACGGCCGCAAGGUUGAAACUCAAAUGAAUUGACGGGG
rnacentral:rRNA from 1 species